GACGAACGCUGGCGGCGUGCUUAACACAUGCAAGUCGAACGGCAAGGCCCUGCUUUUUUGGUGUUCCCGAGUGGCGAACGGGUGCGUAACACGUGAGUAACCUGCUCUUGAUUUUGGUAUAACUUCAGGAAACUGGGCCUAAUAUCGUAUCGCAGCUCCUGUUGCAUGGUGGGGGUUGGAUAUUUUCGGCGUUUGGGGAUGGAUUCGCGGCUUAUCAGCUUGUUGGUUGGGUAGUGGCUUACCAAGGCUUUGACGGGUCGCCGGCCUGAGAGGGUGACCGGCGACAUUGGGACUGAGAUACGGCCCAGACUCGUACGGGAGGCAGCAGUGGGGAAUAUUGCACAAUGGGCGGAAGCCUGAGGCAGAAACGCCGCGGGCGGGAUGACGGCCUUCGGGUUGUAAACCGCUUUCGCCUGUGACGAAGCGUGAGUGAUGGUAAUGGGUAAAGAAGCACCGGCUAACUACGUG
rnacentral:rRNA from 1 species